GACGAACGCUGGCGGCAUGCUUAACACAUGCAAGUCGAACGGAAAGGCCCUGCUUUUGUGGGAUGCUCGAGUGGCGCACGGGUGAGUAACACGUGAGUAACCUGCCCUUGACUUUGGGAUAACUUCAGGAAACUGGGGCUAAUACCGGAUCGGAGCUCCUGCUGCAUGGCGAUGUUUGGAAUGUUUCGGCGGUUGGGGCUGGACUCGCGGCUUAUCAGCUUGGUGGUGGGGUAGUGGCUUACCAAGGCUUUGACGGGUAGCCGGCCUGAGAGGGUGACCGGCCACAUUGGGACUGAGAUACGGCCCAGACUCCUACGGGAGGCAGCAGUGGGGAAUAUUGCACAAUGGGCGGAAGCCUGAUGCAGCAACGCCGCGUGCGGGAUGACGGCCUUCGGGUUGUAAACCGCUUUCGCCUGUGACGAAGAGUGAGUGACGGUAAUGGGUAAAGAAGCACCGGCUAACUACGUG
rnacentral:rRNA from 1 species